rnacentral:rRNA from 1 species
GAUGAACGCUGGCGGCGUGCUUAAUACAUGCAAGUCGAGCGGACAGACGAGGAGCUUGUGCCGUGGAUGUUAGCGGCGGACGGGUGAGUAACACGUGGAUAACCUACCUAUAAGACGGGGAUAACCUCGGGAAACCGGAGCUAAUACCGGAUAACAUGUUGAACCGCAUGGGUCGACAGUGAAAGUCGGUUUUGCUGGCACUUAUAGAUGGUUCCGCGCCGCUUUAGCUGGUUGGUAAGGUAACGGCUUAUCAAGGCAACGAUGCGUAGCCGACCUGUGAGGGUGGUCGGCCACACUGGAACUGAGACGCGGUCCAGACUCCUACGGGAGGCAGCAGUAGGGUAUGUUCCGCAGUGGGCGAAAGCCUGACGGAACAACGCCACGUGAGUGGAGGCGGUGUUGGGAUCGUGAAACUCUGUUAUUAGGGAAGAACAAAUGUGUAAGUAACUAUGCACGUCGUGACGGUACCUAGUCAGAAAGCCACGGCUAACUACGUG